rnacentral:lncRNA from 1 species
CAUGGGACUGUACGGUCAGUCAAAAAAGCAAAACUUACAACAUUACACUUCAAAAGAAAUGUCAUAUGAAUCUGUUUUAUUAUUUAGUUCUUACGCAACAUUUUACGUCGAUAUAUCUGGAGCGCUGUUACUAAUACAGCACGAUUAAUGAUUAUUCUUACGUCUUAUACAUACAUUAUAUACAACACUUUGCAACAGCAUGCAUUUUCACAAUAAAAUGCCACAAGAUGAGGUGAAAUAAUGACAUUUAUUGAGAAUUAGCUACAUUUCAAGAUUGGAGAGUGUACUCGCUCUGAGAACAUUAUGGAAUCUCCAUUUAUGAUGUAGUAGCUUGACUCGGUAGCCUUACCAAAGUAUCACUUUCUGUCUGCAAACAAAGGAGGCCACUGACCUCCCAAGUCUGGGCUUGAAACAAGCCACAUGUUUGUCACCAUGCACCAAUGAGAGAUGUCACAUUGCGCCGGAACUUCUGGCGAAACUGUUAAUUUUUCGUUGUGCACCAUGCCUCAGAGAAAGUGCUCAC